AUAAUACUCCCUCCGUUCGGAAUUACUUGUCUCGGAAAUGGAUGUAUCUAGAACUGAAAUACGUCUAGAUACAUCCAUUUCUGCGACAAGUAAUUUCAAACAGAGGGAGUAUAAA
rnacentral:pre_miRNA from 1 species